GGAAUAUUGGUCAAUGGACGCAAGUCUGAACCAGCCAUGCCGCGUGGAGGAUGAAGGUCCUCUGGAUUGUAAACUUCUUUUAUCUGGGAAGAAACCCAUGUUUUCUAAUGUGGUUGACGGUACCAGAUGAAUACGCACCGGCUAACUCCGUGCCAGCAGCCGCGGUAAUACGGAGGGUGCAAGCGUUAUCCGGAUUCACUGGGUUUAAAGGGUGCGUAGGCGGGUUGGUAAGUCCGUGGUGAAAUCUCCGAGCUUAACUCGGAAACUGCCGUGGAUACUAUCAAUCUUGAAUAUCGUGGAGGUAAGCGGAAUAUGUCAUGUAGCGGUGAAAUGCUUAGAUAUGACAUAGAACACCAAUUGCGUAGGCAGCUUACUACACGAUCAUUGACGCUGAGGCACGAAAGCGUGGGGAGCAAAC
rnacentral:rRNA from 1 species